CCUACGGGAGGCAGCAGUGGGGGAUAUUGCACAAUGGGGGGAACCCUGAUGCAGCGACGCCGCGUGGGUGAAGAAGCGCCUCGGCGCGUAAAGCCCUGUCAGCAGGGAAGAAAAUGACGGUACCUGAAGAAGAAGCCCCGGCUAACUACGUGCCAGCAGCCGCGGUAAUAAGUAGGGGGCAAGCGUUAUCCGGAUUUACUGGGUGGAAAGGGGGCGCAGACGGGUAUGCAAGCCAGGAGGGAAAGCCCGGGGCCCAAACCCGGGUCUGCUCUUGGAACUGGGUGUCUUGAGGGCAGGAGAGGAAAGUGGAAUUCCUAGUGUAGCGGUGAAAUGCGUAGAUAUUAGGAGGAACACCAGUGGCGAAGGCGACUUUCUGGACUGUACCUGACGCUGAGGCGCGAAAGCGUGGGUAGCGAACGGGAUUAGAUACCCUAGUAGUC
rnacentral:rRNA from 1 species